GAACAGGCUGCCCAGGGUCAUGGCACCAAGCCUACUGAAGUGUCUAUGUAUGUGAUAAAAUAAUUUCCACUCCAUCUUUCCUUUACCUCAUCAUUGCUGUGGAAGCAAGAGAUAAGAGCAGCAACCCGAGGUGGAACACAAGCUACCACUGUAAAUAUUGUGAAAUUGUUACACAAGACUCCCUCCAGAAUUUGGAAAUGCAUUAAAGAAUUCCAGGUUUGUACAUGGAUGUUUAAUCCUUGGAAAAAAAAAAACAGUUAGGAAGAAAGUCAGUGACCUGGAGUCUAUUGCUGAUUUGGGCACCGGCCUGAGAACUGAUUUGAGCAUUGCAUACAAUUGUCAUUACUAUCCAAUACCACCAGUUUGAUUUAGUGACUGAUGUGCUACAGGAGAUAACAUGGCUAUCACUGGCAAGUAACAACAAGAGUCACUGCCAGGCUGAUGUUCUCCUGUGCCAAAGUACAUCUCAUUUCUCUAACCUGAGUGAGUCAAAAUGGUGCCAUUUUUGUGCAUUGUUAUAAGUAGGUAAGACUUAUAGUAUGUUGCUGGUAUGUUGUCUUUGUAGAAAUUAAGUUAUUGUUGAGAUGAUCUCCUGACUGCACCAUUUUCUAUUCAGGAGACCAUUCCUUGCUUUGAUUUAAGAAGGAAAAAAAAAAUCAACCUUCUUUGAUUUUAUUUUCAUGCAUUUACCGCAUACUGUCUUUUGGUACAUUUCUAGUUGCUAUGUGAUGUGAGAUCCAUGUAAAUCAUUCUACUUCCCUUAUAAGAAGUACUUAUAAGUGAUCACAGAUGUGUUCGUAUGCCAUCUUUUACAUGGACUGAAGCAAUCAAGUCUCGAAGAUGCUUAGCCUGAAACCAACACUGGGUGAAAUGACACAUUAUGGCAGAGCCAAUCUUAGUAAUUCACUGGUUAUUAAAGGAAAAAAGUCAUACUACCUUCCCUCUCUACACCAAGCUUUGCAUUUCUGAUGCUAGCCAUGCACAGAUCUGGUGCUCACUAAACCCCUCUGUGAGCUGAUUCAACUCAUUGAUCUAACAAUGCCAAAUAUUAUAUUGCUGUGAGUGGAUUUUGAUGAGCAAAUGUGGUUGGCUCAGCAAAGCACCUGUUGGCCUCAGAUCUAUAACCAGGGAGGAGUUAUGAUCAAGCACUGAGGACUGGUGCAGUGAGUGGAGGGUGGGAAGGAAGGAACAGGAAUCCUGCCUUUGGCAUACAGGAGCUAGUUUGUGUUAGUUUGAUCACCUUAUGUAACUGUUCACUUGACCUUUUGGGAACAGGCCAGGCCCUGCUCAAAUAUAUCUAUCAGACGGUGACAGUUAUAGAGAAAGACUGGUAUAUCAACAUGAAGAAACUUGUCUAAAUGUUAGAAAUGUGCUUGUUACUUGUGACCUUUCACACAGAAAAAAAAAAAAAAAGAGUAUGUAUGUCUAAAUAACCUCCUGUUUUCAUCAACAGGACUAGAGAUUGAAAGUUUCCAUUUGUACAAAGGAAAUGAUGCUUUAUGUCCAUCUUGCAAAUCAGCAAACUGAGCCAAGGUGCCACAGUGGUGCUUUGACUAUUGUUGUGUGAAUAUAGUCAGCAUUAAUGCUAGAAAAAACAGCAUGGGUGGAUCAUGUCAGUACCUACUCUUACUGCACUGGUGUUUCUGAGCAUAAAGUGUUUACAGAAUGUGCUUCACAGAAUACCUGAAGAUGGCCUCCCAUGGAAAGGCUUCAUGGCUUCCUGGAGACCCUUAAGAUCUUCUUUUUGGUUACUAAACCAAACAACAGUCAAAAGUUGUUUGUAAUUGAGUACAGUGCUUGGUGCAUUAGGGAGGUGGGUUUUUUUCUGUUAUUGUAAAAAUAGGAGAAGAUUCAUCUAUGAGCUAAGCUUGUAGCUGAAAUAUGGUCACACCCAGGCAUAGUUUGAGAACUUUUGUGUUCUAGGAAAGCUAUUCACUCAAAGGCUGUGAUAAAUCAAAAAAAAAAAAAAAAAAAAAAAGAGCAGUCUGUGUUUAUUUUUGGUUAAUGAACAAGGAGAAGUAUGCGAAGACAUCAGGCACAUUGAGACGUAUUUUUCCUACUAACAAUGUGGUUGAUUAAGGUGGACAGAUGAGGGCCACAGAGAUUAUGCAAAUGUCACUUAGGUAAAUGUUUGUGUUAGGGUGGGGAUGAACACUGUCCUGUUUCAGAAGUGAACUAAAGACCUUUAAACUUUACCUGCUGGGAUAAUGUGGAUACAUUUGUUCUUUGAUUAAAGGAUGCGCUCACUCCUCGCAUGCUAGUGCAUUGCAACUGCACACUUAUUGUCCUUCUCUAAAGGACUAAAGCUGAACCUCUUAGAUCUCAAAUCCUGUUGCUAUGAAGUCUUCUUACAGUUUAUCAUGCUGCUUUCCCAAAGAACAGGGAAUGUGUGCCAUCCCUCAAACACCCCUUCCUAGAUGCUUAACCGAGUCCCUCGGUAACCCUGAGAUCAGUCCUCCCAGACUGCAGAAAUUCUGGCUGAAAAAUACGUGUUCUAAAGCAGAUCUUUACAGCACUUUUCCAGUCCCAGAUUUUGGACCAAUUUUUUUAGCAACGGCCACCAUAAACCUUUGAAAUAGUCUAUGAUGUGUAUCUCUAGGUAAAACAUCUCUGACCACUGAGUGUGUUAAAAUGAUCAGUUUUCAGUCAAUAUGCCAAGUACGGGCCAGAAAGUUCUGGUCCAAAGUCUACGCUGCAGCAGGUCCCUCACAUUGAUUACACAGUCAUCUAGCACUACUCUAGAUAUGAAAUCGCUAUCACCCUACCUUCUUUUACACAUCACCAGUCCUGUAUGACCAGUCAGCAGCUGGACACGUGUUGACUUCAGUGGGAGCAGAAAUGGAAAACUGCAGAACACCACUGUUCUGAUGAGCUGAAGCGGUACAGUAGUAGCAUUAGCCUCCAGAAGGAGUCAGCUUGCAUACAACACCCUCCUCAUACAGUCCUGGUGAAUGCCUGAGAAGCCAUUAGUUUUCUGAGGGCCAAUACCCAGCUGUGAACUGUCAAGAUGCUCAUCUCAGUAACAUUAUCCUUUUUUUUUUUCCAUUUGCUUUGUCAGGAAUAAAUGUAACACACUGCAGGAACAUUUUGCAGUGGAUAAUAAUGCUGCCACCAUGUAUUUGGUUGAUACACUGACAGAGAUCUCCAGCUGGGAGAGUUCAAAUAUGAAAGCUGUACUAAUGUUUCUGUUCUUGUUAGUAUUCUUGCUAGGACUGGGAGAAGAGUCUGGAUUAUGAAGAGGAGUGGGGAGUAUUAAUUUUCAUUUACUGAACUGCCUAGAAAUAAUUUGAACCACCCACACAGCAGAACAAGCUGAUGUCAGAGCCAGUGAGGUUAUCAACACCAAUAAAAAAGCAGUUGUCACACAGAUUAGACAUUACAUGUUAGCAAAAAACUGCUGGUAUAUUAUUUUUAUGCAAAUUGAAAGUAUUUCUAUAACCUCUGACCCUGCCUGUAAACAUCAGAUUCCAGGAAUUCUGCUGGAAACCAUACAUUACUAAGGUAAAAUAAUACUUAGUAGUGAACAUGGUUUCCUCAGUAGAAGAAUCUGGAAGUGGAAGAAUGUAAGACCUUGAAAUGCACUGCUGAGUGCAAGGAAACUGCUGAGGCCACCUCCUGCCAAACAUCUGGGAAAACACACACCCCUUCAGAGCUGCCAGUGGAAAUAUGUAAACCACACACGGCUGUGAUGCAUGAGCACCUCGUUAACAUGCUAUCAGGCGUUCCCAGAUAGCAGCUGCGCAGGGCCAGGAGUAAGUGGACACGCAAUUUCAGCUUGCUCUGACAUGAAACGGGAAGUCAUCGGAGGCAUUCAAAGAACUAAGUGGAAGGACAGGGAGGUUAUUUUAAGGACAGCAGAAGAAAUGAGGAAAAAGUUGGUGAGAAUGGGAAAGAUAGAAAAUGCAGCAGCAGUCCAAAAGGAAAAAUCUCCUUGGAACUGGAGAGGAUUUCACUGAGUGGUGAGGAAAGAGCUGGAAGGUGGUCAGAGGAGGAAAUAUGGAUCUUGGAUAGAAGCUAUACAUAGAAGUGAACAAGAGGAAUGCAAAGUGGAUGUCUGUGCCUUGAAGGUUUGCUCGAAGGAGGCUGAAUUAGUUCCUCAAGGGGUUGUCUGCAUGCAGGACUACUAAAAGCAAGUGGCGAGGUUGUGGAUUGGCAGGUAGAAAGUGGAAAGUCUGGAGCAUUGGGAGGUAACCUUACCCCUUCUUAUCUAAAUAGACUGAGGGGACACCAUUGCAAAGAUGAGAAAUGAAUAAAGGGCAAUCCUGUGCUGCAGGAAACUAAGCUGGUCUAUCAGUGGGGUGUUGCACUGCAUUGGAACCCUUGCUGGUCUGGUGCUGGUGUCCUGAUUUCAAGGAUGCAGUUACUGAAAUGGUAAUAGUUCAAGUGUAGUGAUUCAAAUGCAGAGAUUCAAAUGAGACAUAAAAUUAAGUAAUUGAAAGGUGGAUUUUAUAAAAGAAUCCUCAACAAGAAAGGCCAUAGUUUUCAGGGGACAUAUUUGAUAGAGAAUUAAGAUAAAAUACAAAUGUUAAUGAGGCUCACUGAGCAGAGGUGAGGGAAGAAUUGCCAGUGAUCCCAGUCAAGAAUAUCUUGUCCUCAGACAAGAAGUUUAUAUCACCUCCAGGGUUGAACAGCAGCCACUCUUCCCACUCAGACAUCAGAAAGAUCACCCAACUGGGUAUGAUGUACUGCCGUUCUCCACGUAGCUUUCACGCUUCACUCAGAAUACAGAGCUAUGGCAGCUACUGUGUGAACACAGGCACACAUUCUUUCCAUGCUUACCACUAUAUGGAAAGUAGUAAAUAAUAGGGCUGACAAGAUUGUGCCAUUUUAGGGGAAGUUUAUGUUGGUUUUGUUUUUGUUUGGUUUUGGUUUUUACAAACAGGCAUUCUUUGGUGACCUGAGAGCCUCUAGGCAGACUGAGUAGGUUACCACUCAGUACAUACAAUUUUCAAAGAACUCAGCAUGCCUAGUAUUUUACCAAAUACCUGUUGGACUACCAGCUGCUUUGCUGAAACUUGACUUUGUUUCUAUGCUUUCAAUGCAGUGGGAUGGGGUUUUUCCAGGCCUUUUCAAGUCACCAGCUCACAGCUCAGCUAUAGCCUUGGCUAGCAAGAUGAUGGAAGUUUGGAGCCAUUCUUUUAAGGCAAGAGAAUUAAGAGCCUGGCCUGUGAGGUGCAUGGCAGCUUCAGGUCUUGAGAGGAAAGAGAGCUCUUAAAUUCACUGGAGUGGAGCGUAUAUUCAGCAUGAAGUUCAGUACCUCAAAUAUUCCUUCAAAACUAUUAAGCUAUUUGCAUUCUCCUCAACAUGGAAAUUCAACAGUUACUAUUAGAAGCAUUCCCUCGGACUGUCUAGUGUGC
ensembl:lncRNA